CCCUGGGUUAGUCGGGACCUAAGCUGAGGCCGAAAGGCGUAGGUGAUGGACAACAGGUUGAUAUUCCUGUACUACCGAUAACCGUUUGAGAGAAGGGAUGACACAGUAGGAUAAGCUAAGCACACUGGUGGUUAUGUGUGCCCAAGCAUUGAGGCAGUCAAAGUAGGCAAAUCCGCUUUGAUAAUGCUGGGAUGUGAUGGGGAGCGAAAUUUAGUAGCGAA
rnacentral:rRNA from 1 species